UACGGAGGGUGCGAGCGUUGUCCGGAAUCACUGGGCGUAAAGGGCGCGUAGGUGGCGCGGAAAGUCAACGGUGAAAGUUCGGGGCUCAACCCUGAAUCGGCCGUCGAUACUGCUGCGCUUGAGCACUGUAGAGGCAGAUGGAAUUCCGGGUGUAGCGGUGGAAUGCGUAGAGAUCCGGAAGAACACCGGUGGCGAAGGCGGUUAGCUGGGCAGUUGCUGACACUGAGGCGCGACAGCGUGGGGAGCAAACAGG
rnacentral:rRNA from 1 species